rnacentral:antisense_RNA from 1 species
GUAGGCUUUCAGCGUCCGCUGGCAAAGCGCCGAGCGGACGCAAUCGUCUUUGGUGAAACGGACAAUGCCUAUCAUUUCAUCUUCUUCGAAACGGGCCAUGGCAUCACUGAGGCCAGAUUGAACGCCGCGAGGUAAAUCACACUGGGUGAUAUCCCCGUUCACGAUAACCGUGACGUUCUCCCCGAGGCGGGU